rnacentral:lncRNA from 1 species
GGAAGGCUUGAGCACAUUUAUUUUGCUGCAUAUGUGCUGGAAUGGUGCUACAAAGAUCACAAGAAAGCCACAUUAUCUGAAGGUGUUCGAGGAUUGGUGCACACUGACAAGAAAACCAAUUGCACCUCAACACUGAGCCCACAAGACAAGCAUGAUAGAGCAUUAUCCUGUGGAUGGCCUUCACUUAUGACGUCGCUUCCAACUGGAAUAUUCUAACUGUACCAGGAAAGGGUUGAUGCUGGAGCAGUCAUAUUUCAGGGAAGAGGAAGAAGAAAGGGAGACCUGUAUAAGACUCAGCAAUAUUCAUUAAACAUAGGAAAAGCUGUUCAUUUUGUCAGAUCUACUGGAUGUCACAGGGUGAAGCUUUGCACUCAAAGGAGUGUCACUGGACUGUAUUUUGAGCUUCUGAGAAUUUACCAUGUUCAAUCAGUAGAAAUGCCUGACAAUUCCAAAACCCAUAAUUUCCCAU